UACGAAGGGGGCUAGCGUUGUUCGGAAUUACUGGGCGUAAAGCGUACGUAGGCGGAUUGUUAAGUGAGGGGUGAAAUCCCGAGGCUCAACCUCGGAACUGCCUUUCAUACUGGCAAUCUUGAGUCCGGGAGAGGUGAGUGGAACUCCUAGUGUAGAGGUGAAAUUCGUAGAUAUUGGGAAGAACACCAGUGGCGAAGGCGGCUCACUGGCCUGGUAUUGACGCUGAGGUGCGAAAGCGUGGGGAGCAAACAGG
rnacentral:rRNA from 1 species